AUUGAACGCUGGCGGCAGGCCUAACACAUGCAAGUCGAGCGAGCGGCGGACGGGUGAGUAAUGUAUGGGGACUGCCCGAUAGAGGGGGAUAACUACUGGAAACGGUAGCUAAUACCGCCUACAAUCGGAUAACCCAUAUGGGAUUAGCUAGUAGGUGGGGUAAUGGCUCAACUAGGCGACGAUCCCUAGCUGGUCUGAGAGGAUGAUCAGCUACACUGAGACAGAGACACGGCCCAGACGCCUACGGAGGCAGCAGUGGGGAAUAUUGCACAAUGGGCGCAAGCCUGAUGCAGCCAUGCCGCGUGUUUGAAGAAGGCCCUAGGGUUGUAAAGUUCUUUCAGUCGGGGAGCGUUACCGACAGAAGAGGCACCGGCUAACGCCGUGCCAGCAGCCGCGGUAAUAC
rnacentral:rRNA from 1 species